UACAGAGGAUGCAAGCGUUAUCCGGAAUGAUUGGGCGUAAAGCGUCUGUAGGUGGCUUUUUAAGUCCGCCGUCAAAUCCCAGGGCUCAACUCUGGACAGGCGGUGGAAACUACCAAGCUGGAGUACGGUAGGGGCAGAGGGAAUUUCCGGUGGAGCGGUGAAAUGCGUAGAGAUCGGGAAGAACACCAAGGGCGAAAGCACUUUGCUGGGCCGAAACUGACACUGAGAGACGAAAGCUAGGGUAGCGAAUGGG
rnacentral:rRNA from 1 species